rnacentral:rRNA from 1 species
UACGUAGGGCGCAAGCGUUGUCCGGAAUUAUUGGGCGUAAAGAGCUCGUAGGCGGUUUGUCGCGUCUGCCGUGAAAACCCGAGGCUUAACCUCGUGGCUUGCGGUGGAUACGGGCAGACUAGAGGUAGGUAGGGGAGAAUGGAAUUCCUGGUGUAGCGGUGAAAUGCGCAGAUAUCAGGAGGAACACCGGUGGCGAAGGCGGGUCUCUGGGCCGAUAUCGACGCUGAGGAGCGAAAGCGUGGGGAGCGAACAGG